rnacentral:lncRNA from 1 species
UAACGGGCGGGAAAGGACAAGAAAGGCAGAGAGGUCGGCCCUGGCCACGAUGGAGUCUGUCUAAGGUAGCCCGGACAGAGCUGCGCUCAGCCUUGCAUGGGAGAAGGGCCAGGACAGGCACGGGCGUGCUGGACAGUUCCCGGUUUCUAGUUCUCUGUAUCCGGCGACCAAUGCCCUAGGCCGCGACCCCGCAGCCAGGCCUACUUCCCUGCUGGGACUGCGCAUUUCCAGAAUGCUUGCCUGUUUUUCCACCAGAUAUUUAAACGCAGCUGGGACUGCAGUGAGCUUCACUUGUCAUGAAGGAGAGUGGGCAGCUGCUUUUUGGGGAAGAACUCCUCAGCUGUACAGCCCAAAGGCAGCAAUGAGAAACAGGAAGGAUGCACUGGCCCUUGCUGUCUAACACGUGUCACUGAUGACUAAGAAGACAGAUUUCUCAACUUAUUAUCUGCAGAGACAGUAAAGGAUAAAAAUGCUCCAGAGAGUUCUUCUUUGUCCUUUCUCUCUUAUCUCCGUAAGUGUACCCAGCCUUAAUCUCAGCAUCCACUUCAAAUCCACCUCUUCUUCCAUCACCAAACACUCCAGGUCCUAUCUCAGUUUUGUUUUGUUUUGUUUUGUUUUGUUUUGUUUUGUUUUGUUUUAUGCAGCCUGCAGAUAGGAUCUUAGGAAGGUGGCUAAAGUUGAAAAUAGUGAGGUAAAGGAUCUACCUGCAUUCUUAUCACCAUUCCCAUUAUUUGUAUUUCUGUUCUAGCAAUAAAUGCAAAACUCUUGACAGGCAUAGAGAAAUUUAUGCUGCCAAAUGUCACCUUUGAAUAUGACGACUUCAAGUCGUCAGUUUUAAAUGGUAAUGUAAAAGCAUUCUGACAAAAACUCGGCAAAACAUGUUAGAGCUCGAUAUUGUCAGCACACAGGACAAAUGCUCAUUACAGAUGCCCCUGCUUUUCUCCUCUACCACUGGGUUUUGGUGGUCACAGUUUGAUCAGCAUUGCAAACAGAGGUAAGAAUAAUCUCAGGCCUCAUUCUCCAUAGAGGCAAUUGAUGGGUAUCUAGCGAAGACACCACU